rnacentral:rRNA from 1 species
AUUGAACGCUGGCGGCAGGCCUAACACAUGCAAGUCGAGCGGAUGAAGGGAGCUUGCUCCUGGAUUCAGCGGCGGACGGGUGAGUAAUGCCUAGGAAUCUGCCUGGUCGUGGGGGAUAACGUCCGGAAACGGGCGCUAAUACCGCAUACGUCCUGAGGGAGAAAGUGGGGGAUCUUCGGACCUCACGCUAUCAGAUGAGCCUAGGUCGGAUUAGCUAGUUGGUGGGGUAAAGGCCUACCAAGGCGACGAUCCGUAACUGGUCUGAGAGGAUGAUCAGUCACACUGGAACUGAGACACGGUCCAGACUCCUACGGGAGGCAGCAGUGGGGAAUAUUGGACAAUGGGCGAAAGCCUGAUCCAGCCAUGCCGCGUGUGUGAAGAAGGUCUUCGGAUUGUAAAGCACUUUAAGUUGGGAGGAAGGGCAGUAAGUUAAUACCUUGCUGUUUUGACGUUACCAACAGAAUAAGCACCGGCUAACCUCGUG